CCUACGGGAGGCAGCAGUAGGGAAUCUUUCACAAUGGACGAAAGCCUGAUGGAGCAACGCCGCGUGCAGGAUGAAGGCCUUCGGGUUGUAAACUGCUUUUAUAAGCGAGAAAUAUGAUGGUAACUUAUGAAUAAGUCUCGUCUAACUACUUGCCAGCAGCCGCGGUCAUACGUAGGAUCCGAGCAUUAUCCGGAGUAACUGGGUGUAAAGAGUUGCGUAGGUGGGAUAUUAAGUAGCUAGUGAAAUCUGGUGGCUCAACCAUUCAGACUAUUAGCUAAACUGUUAAGCUCGAGACCGUUAGAGGUAACUGGAAUUUCUAGGGUAGGAGUGAAAUCAGUAGAUAUUAGAAGGAACACCAAUAGAGUAGGCAGGUUACUGGGACGGUUCUGACACUAAGGCACGAAAGCGUAGGGAGCAAACGGGAUUAGAUACCCAUGUAGUC
rnacentral:rRNA from 1 species